GCCGGGUUGGCGGAAUGGCAGACGCGGCGGCCUCAAAAGCCGCUGUCCUCCGGGACGUGUGGGUUCGAGUCCCACACCCGGCACCG
rnacentral:tRNA from 1 species